rfam:Lingula anatina scaffold129, whole genome shotgun sequence.
UUGCUGUGAUGACAGCUAGCUUCUGUGGUUUCGCAAAGUCUGAGAUGACCUUGAUGACCCCAAGCUCCUUGGCUGUGAUUCUGAGCAA